rnacentral:rRNA from 1 species
AUUGAACGCUGGCGGCAGGCCUAACACAUGCAAGUCGAACGAGUGGCGGACGGGUGAGUAAUGUAUGUGAAACUGCCCGAUGGAGGGGGAUAACUACUGGAAACGGUAGCUAAUACCUCAUACUAUCAGAUGUGCCCAUAUGGGAUUAGCUAGUUGGUGGGGUAACGGCUCACCAAGGCGACGAUCCCUAGCUGGUCUGAGAGGAUGACCAGCAACACGGGAACUGAGACACGGCCCAGACGCCGACGGGAGGAAGCAGUGGGGAAUAUUGCACAAUGGGCGCAAGCCUGAUGCAGCCAUGCCGCGGGUAUGAAGAAGGCCUUAGGGUUGUAAAGUACUUUCAGCGGGGAGGCGUUACCCGCAGAAGAAGCACCGGCUAACUCCGUGCCAGCAGCCGCGGUAAUUC